UACGGGAGGCAGCAGUGGGGAAUAUUGCACAAUGGGCGCAAGCCUGAUGCAGCCAUGCCGCGCGUAUGAAGAAGGCCUUCGGGUUGUAAAGUACUUUCAGUCGUGAGGAAGGUGUUAAGGUUAAUAACCUUAGCAAUUGACGUUAGCGACAGAAGAAGCACCGGCUAACUCCGUGCCAGCAGCCGCGGUAAUACGGAGGGUGCGAGCGUUAAUCGGAAUUACUGGGCGUAAAGGGCACGCAGGCGGUUAAUUAAGUUGGAUGUGAAAUCCCCGGGCUUAACCUGGGAAUGGCAUUCAAGACUGGUUAGCUAGAGUCUUGUAGAGGGGGUAGAAUUCCAUGUGUAGCGGUGAAAUGCGUAGAGAUGUGGAGGAAUACCGGUGGCGAAGGCGGCCCCUGGACAAAGACUGACGCUCAUGUGCGAAAGCGUGGGGAGCAAACAGGAUUAGAUACC
rnacentral:rRNA from 1 species